UCGCAGGCUGCAACCCGCCUGCGUGAAGUUGGAAUCGCUAGUAAUCGCGGAUCAGCAUGCCGCGGUGAAUACGUUCCCGGGCCUUGUACACACCGCCCGUCACACCAUGAGAGUCGGGAACACCCGAAGUCCGUAGCCUAACCGCAAGGGGGCGCGGCCGAAGGUGGGUUCGAUAAUUGGGGUGAAGUCGUAACAAGGUAGC
rnacentral:rRNA from 1 species